GUAGGUGGCAAGCGUUGUCCGGAAUUAUUGGGCGUAAAGCGCGCGCAGACGGUCCUUUAAGUCUGAUGUGAAAGCCCACGGCUCAACCGUGGAGGGUCAUUGGAAACUGGGGGACUUGAGUACAGAAGAGGAAAGCGGAAUUCCAAGUGUAGCGGUGAAAUGCGUAGAGAUUUGGAGGAACACCAGUGGCGAAGGCGGCUUUCUGGUCUGUAACUGACGCUGAGGCGCGAAAGCGUGGGGAGCAAACAGGGAUUAGAUACCCUGGUAGUCCACGCCGUAAACGAUGAGUGCUAAGUGUUAGGGGGGUUUCCGCCCCCUUAGUGCUGCAGCUAACGCAUUAAGCACUCCGCCUGGGGAUACGGCCGCAAGGCUG
rnacentral:rRNA from 1 species